AAUCUUUUCAGAGCCAGUAUCAAAGGCUGCGUGAGGCUCAGUAUUUGGGACAUCUCAUUGCAGCCGCAGUCCCAACGUGGGGCGAGGAAAGUGCUGUACAAACUCACGUUCUACCCAAGAGUGGGAGGAAUUUAAUCUUCAUAAAGAAAGAAGAGUUUGGAGUCCGCAUCUGGAUUGGCAACCAGUGUACAGUGUUCUGCUCCCUGAAAUUGAUAACUGGUGCUCCAUGCUUUACUGUAUACUCUAUCAUGACAGCAAUAAAAGUUUCAACAUAUGAAUCUA